CGAGAGCGUUCUGGGGACGGGUGUGCUAACGGCUGUGCGGCUGCGGAAAGUCACUCCGAGUAGUGAAGACGCUGCUUGCGGAACUGGCUGAGAAAGGUUUUGAUGGCGUUCAGGGUUUUGCGCUGGAAGAAACAACGCACACACCGCCGGAAACCUUAAUCCACGGCCCGCAAGGAAAGCGUCCCGCAAGACUGACC